ACCUUGCUGACGAGUGCCAAAUAACACGAAACCCGUGUCCAGGGU
rnacentral:hammerhead_ribozyme from 1 species